UAUAAGUCUAAGUCAUCUAAGUCUGUAAUGAACGAGCAGGAAAGUAUGGUGCCAAGGUCUUUCAUUUGAUGAAAAAUAUCAACUUGAUAUUAGUUCAGUGAAACAAGAAAAGAAGCCAUUUGACUUGGUUUAAGGAAAUAAGGAACAUGGAUUAAUUGAGGUAGUACUAGUGUGCA